rnacentral:rRNA from 1 species
AAUGAACGCUGGCGGCGUGCUUAACACAUGCAAGUCGAACGAGAACGGGUUCUUCGGGACCUUAGUAGAGUGGCGCACGGGUGAGUAACACAUGGACAAUCUACCCCCGAGUCCGGGAUAACAUUUCGAAAGGGAUGCUAAUACCGGAUAAUAUCUGUUUUACCUUGGUUUAGCAGAUCAAAGGUGGCCUAUCCUUGGAAGCCAUUGUUUGGGGAUGAGUCCGCGUACCAUUAGCUUGUUGGUGGGGUAACGGCCUACCAAGGCGAUGAUGGUUAGCUGGUCUGAGAGGAUGAUCAGCCACACUGGAACUGACACACGGUCCAGACUCCUACGGGAGGCAGCAGUGAGGAAUUUUGCGCAAUGGGCGAAAGCCUGACGCAGCAACGCCGCGUGAGUGAUGAAGGCCCUUGGGUCGUAAAGCUCUGUCAAUGGGGAAGAAACAGUAGAGGGUUAAUAUCCUUUUGCCUUGACGGUACCCAUGAAGGAAGCACCGGCUAACUCCGUG